rnacentral:rRNA from 1 species
AACGAACGCUGGCGGCAUGCCUAACACAUGCAAGUCGAACGAGACCUUCGGGUCUAGUGGCGCACGGGUGCGUAACGCGUGGGAACCUGCACUUAUGUUCGGAAUAACUCCCCGAAAGGGGUGCUAAUACCGGAUAAUGUCUUCGGACCAAAGAUUUAUCGACUUUGGUUGGGCCCGCGUUGGAUUAGCUAGUUGGUAGGGUAAAAGACUACCAAGGCGACGAUCCAUAGCUGGUCUGAGAGGAUGAUCAGCCACACUGGGACUGAGACACGGCCCAGAAUCCUACGGGAGGCAGCAAUGGGUAAUAUUGGAAAAUGGGCGAAAGCCUGAUCCAGCAAUGCCGCGUGAGUGAUGAAAGCCUUAGGGUUGUAAAGCUCUUUUACCCGGGAUGAUAAUGACAGUACCGGGAGAAUAAGCUCCGGCUAACUCCGUG